rnacentral:rRNA from 1 species
UACGUAGGGCGCAAGCGUUGUCCGGAAUUAUUGGGCGUAAAGAGCUCGUAGGCGGCCAGUUACGUCCGCUGUGAAAUCCCGGGGCUCAACCCCGGGCGUGCAGUGGAUACGGGCUGGCUGGAGGCAGGCAGGGGAGAACGGAAUUCCUGGUGUAGCGGUGAAAUGCGCAGAUAUCAGGAGGAACACCGGUGGCGAAGGCGGUUCUCUGGGCCUGUUCUGACGCUGAGGAGCGAAAGCGUGGGGAGCGAACAGG